rnacentral:misc_RNA from 1 species
UGAAAGCCUCCCAAGCCCGGGCACAACACAAACCCCGGUACCUCAGGUGCCAAGGAACUGCAACAGAGCGAGCGCGCCUUACGCCGAUUGCACCCGAAAUGACUCUCAACAACGGAUAUCUCAGCUCUCGCAUCGAUGAAGAACGUAGUGAAAUGCAAUGCUUGGUGUGAAUUGCAGAAUCCUGUGAACUAUCGAGUCUUUGAAUGUAAGUUGCGCCCAAAGCUAUUAGGCCGAGGGCACGCCUGCCAUGGCGACACGCAACGUCGCCGCCACCCCACGCGGAGCACGGCGAAUGAUGGCCUCCCAGAGGCUCUAUCCCCUAACUGGCCGAAAUAACUGCCUAGCGCGAUGGCGGCCAUGAUCCACGUGGACGUUCGAGACCGAACGUGAUCGCACAAUCCCAGUGGGAGGGUCGUACCGCGAAUCCGACGGUGACCCCAGGUCAGGCGG